UGACUCUCUUGGUAACCUGGUGAUGGCAGCUGUUCAGGUCAAAGUGCCCACCUUGGACCCAGGUUGGAAUAUAAAUAAUGGAGACCGAACUAAGCUUGGGCAUCACAGAGACUGCAUCUUGGCUGGCCUCUGCGAGGGGGUGCCAAAACUGUGAAGUUUUAAUAAGGUGGAGAAACUGAGCCUAGAGAAUUUAAAGCCACGAAGCUAGGAGGAAAUGCAGCAGAAAUUGGAACCCAGGAUGUGCUGUUUCAAUCAUUGGAUGUGUUCCUUGGAUCCAGGUGUUGGUCAAAGCCUUUUCUCAUAUUUGUAGCA